GCUACCACCAAAGCGGGAACAAAUUUUCUUCUCGUUCCCGGCGGGAACGAUGUCCUCAAUAUCCAUACUAAUCUCCGACGAUGAUUCCGACAGCCUCGACCCUCCGUCAAUGCGUCACACGUCGAACCUCCUCAAACCCCGCCAAAAUGCGGAGCAGACGACACUGGUUUUACAAGAUUUUCAUGCAAAACGAUGCCAACGAACGCCACCAAUCCUUUGUGGCUGCGUAACAAAAAGAAAAACGAGAUUCUCAUCAGAGCCUUUCCUUGUAAUCAUCAAGAACCGCUGGAGGCUACUUUUAUUCUUCCCUCUCUUCGGCUUGACUCCUCUUUGGACUCUGCAGAGUUUUCUCUCUCACCCAUCAUAACAUGGGUCGUGUUGACCCUAAACCAAAAGAAACUUUUGGCCCAAGAAGAAAUGGAGAAUCUGGAAAUUCCUUUUAUGGUAACUCCUACCUUCCUGUUGAACCAUUAGUGUAUAUAUCAGAGGCUGAUGAGAUCUUAUGUUGGUGCAAUAUCACUUUGCUGUAUAUGUCAGCCAUCAGAAUCUUCAAGGUUUAAUAUGUUCACAGGGUAUCAAACAAUCCACCAAAGAGAACAAAGUUAUAAGGUUGGAGAUUUUGAUAGUUUAAUCUUUUUGAUCUUUCUUAUUCAAAGCGCUUGCUUGAUUUAAACAUGAGCUCUUCAUGUUUAAAUCUCUAUUGUCUGCUGUCUCAAAAUUCUGUCUUAUUAUCACAGAGGUAACAGUUUCUGACCUGAGAGAUGUGUAGCAUCAUCUUAUAGGUUCCAAUGUUUCCCCGUCUACAACUUCCAAUAUCCCUCAAUCUGUCAAUCACCAUAUUCUUCGCCAGCAAAAACUUACUUGCAUCUACCAUGCAAGUUUGGCACCAUGAUAGUACUAGGCUGAAUAACUGUUGUUAGAUGGUGGUCAAGACUGGGGUUUAAGAGCUGGAAGUAGAGGUUGUUAAUAUACAGGAGCUGAUACCAGAGAAAGGAAGGUGUUCAGUAUUAAAUAUCAGAUACAACUUACAGAACUGUUUUAUCUUGCAAGCCUUAUUACUGAUUACUAUUUGGAAAAACCUUUCAUGUAAAUUGCAAAAGGUUUUAAAAGAAAAACUGAUAAGAAAAUAAAGAAAUUGAUGAUGAAGACAGGGUUUUAGAUUCAUUAAAGUUGCUUGGAAAAUGUCAUUGGAUAAUCUUAUUGCAUGCCCCAACUAAUACAACAGAAUAUUGUUUUCUUCAGCUCUAUCAGCAGCUUUAGUUAUUGUUAUAGAGAGCACACGCCAUUGAUGAAUCUGUUCAUGUGCCUCUGGUUCAAUGAAGUGGUUCGUUUUACCUCGCGUGACCAAACCAGCUUCCCAUUUGUGCUCAGGCGAUUGAGCAUACUGAAGAAUAUAAAUUUGUUCCCUGCCUGUACUCGUAAAGAACUUGUGAAUUGUAUAUAUGGGCCACAAACGCAAGGCUAGAUCUCAGAUAAGUUGACAAGCUUUUUUGAUAGCAUGAUUCUUUGAUAGUACAUAAUUUUUCUUGUA